rnacentral:lncRNA from 1 species
GGGGGAGGCGCGCCUGCAGCGCGGCCGGUCACUGCCCCGUUGAUCCACACACGUCACGAAUCAGUGACAGAGACUCGCUGUGGAAACCGGAGUGCGCUGGCCUGCCUGCUACCCUCCGGUGUUUGUGACUUUUUACCAGCUGUCCUGACGAAGCACAGGGUGGAGCGAGCGCUGGUGUGCUGGGUGGAUUCUCAUCCCCCGAUAGCUGGAAAGUUGCCCCUCAUGACACUGGCCACUGCAUCGACAGCCUCUGUUGCUGGGUGUUUCUUCUAAGCAAUUAAGUAGGAGAUGAUGAAACCUCUCUUCCGUGGGGGGAGGCAGGACCAGCGCCCCGUCUUUAUCAGCCAGUGGCCAUAAAUGUGGACCAUGAACUUUCCCACUUGCUGUCAGCCCGGGCAUCGCAGGUGCGGUCACCCCUGGUUCGUCUCUCCUGCAAGGUGGGGAAAGGAAAGUUAACCUGCCAGUGGGUUAAGCCCUUCCUGACUUUCAUACGGGAGCCGGGCAUUUUGUCCUGGUGACCCAGAGUUGUGGUGUGUGGGCUGGUGCCUCAACAACCCUCCAGUGCACCUGCGCCCCUCUUCAGUGAGUCCCUUUAUCCACUUGGGAUUUGCUCUCCUUUCCGUGAAGGUGCCCCACAAGCAUGUCCACCUGGGUGGUAACCCUUGCUGAGUUUUAAAAGUGUAUCUGUUCAGUCUGUUGAUCCAACAUCAGAUCAGCCUUGUCAGUUUCCUAAAGUUGAACGAACCACGGUUUUGUCUGCACGCUUUAGUUUUAUCACAACAGAACUGAGUGUGUCACCUGCAUCUCACGUGAAAAUCACAAAAUGCCCUCAUCCAUGACCAUUAAAGAUAGGUCACAUUUUUGCAAUGCCAGCAAUUUUGCAUAAACAGACUCUGUUUUCAGGUUUGCUGAGGUGCUGGAUAUUUGGAGGUGAGAGAUUUGAGGCACUCGAUUUUCUGGCAGGAACCAGCACAGGCCACGAGUCUCGGACUUCGUGCGGAGGUCUGCUGGGUAGGCUGAAGGAUGCAUCGUUUACCUUUUUUGUCUGCACGGGUCUUGCACAUCGUGUGCUACUGAUUUUAAUGUGAAAAUCCCCACGUCAGCGGGUCUGGUUGGAGUCCCGUUGGUCUGGAUGUUUUGGGAGAAUGUGAGAGGAGAGGGGAGCAGGCCCUGCGCUGGGCGCAGAUCCGUCUGAGUGCGCUGAGAAGACGUCAGGUGAAGGCCGAGGUAGCCGGGUGUCCUCUUUCUUCUGUGUCCACCUUCAUUUUGUCCUCUUCCUCUUUUUGCCCAGUGUCUUCUGAGUGGGUGGAGCCAGGCGUGCCCACCAGAUGCGGGUAGCGUGUGCUAGGCCAGGACGGCUCCCCAGGCUCAAGUCGGCCUCCUCCUGGGCCGAGGUGGGUUGGCUGCCUGUCCCCAGCUGAGUUGUGGCUGUUCCCCUCACCUGCUCAGAUGAAGGCAGCGCUGUCAGAGGUGACCAGAGCCCGCUCCCUCGACCUUCAGGAUCCCCCGAGAGGGAGGCAACGUGUCAGGACGGUGUAUGUGGAGAGAGGCUUGAGGCUCGGUGCCCGAGCACGGGCAGGAGGACAGUGGCCUCGAUGCCAGAGACCGGAGGGAGGGACGCGACGAUGAGGCUGCAUAAGAAGAGAGCUGACUGUAGCUGAGUGUGUCAGCCACUCACCACCGAGUCCAGUUUCCGCACAGCACGAUCAUCGUGCCCUUGCUCACACACGUGUUAGAUGAGCUUGUGUGAGCUUUAUGGGCUGUAAUUUGUGAGUCUGUUCUGGGUGUGUGAUCCUGGCAGCCGGCUCGGCCUGGCCGCUCGUGACCUGGGGCCUUGUGGGGGUGGGGAGAGGGUGAGGAGGGGUGCACCCUCGACACCACCCUCUGAUGUGGCCUGCAGCCUAUGAAGAGUGAGGUUUGGGGGCCCAGAGUGUGAGUCACCAGCGGUAAAUGCAAACCAUAUGUGAUGCAUUUUCUCUGCUGCAGAAAGGGUUUCUGGUGACUGGCUCAGGCCAGGGCUCUGGAAACAGCAUUGCUUAUUUCACAUAAAAAUCCUAAGAAUGUGGGUGAACCUGUCUGAGAUCUGCGUAAUAAAACACUUAGUUGAAGUCACCGGGUUAGUUCCAGGCCCACUUGCUUAUGACGUGGCUGUUAGCCACGAGCUGGCAUUUACGUUAAAGUGUUGAGAAGAAGCGUGAGGGUUUUGAUGUUUCAGUUUCUUGAAAAUAUAACUGUUUCUACUCAGGACCUGCCUCUCCAAGAGUGUAGCACACUUCAUUUUUUUCUGUUUAGCAUGUAUGAGGGUGAACUUAGCUUGCUACUCACACACUACUCACUCUGUGGAGGAAGUUUGCCUCGCUUUUGUGGUGAGUCUUGCUGUAAUGAUAGCUUAUAUUUACAAAUACCGUCAGCAGUGCAGGGUCUUCAGGCUUGCAGAAAACGGUCAAGUCAUUACUUUGAGAAAUGUACAAACAUCUAUGCUUAAUGAGGUGCUAAAAGACAAAACUCAUCUACAAUCUCCUUCCCCCCAAACUGCCAACACUUCUGAUUAAUUUAAAAUCUGCUCUAAACGACAAAACUCAUCUACAACCUCCUUCCCCCCAAACUGCCAACACUUCUGAUUAAUUUAAAAUCUGCUCUAAAAGACAAAACUCAUCUACAACCUCCUUCCCCACAAACUGCCAACACUCUGGAUUAAUUUAAAAGCUGCUCUCUGGGCAGGUUGCAUCCCAGGGCUCCUCCUUCACACAUGGUGGGGCCCCACCUUCGCUUUACCUCUAGCGUCCCAGCCCUCGUGGUCAUCUGGAACCAGGGUUGGUACACAGGGCCUGCUGGCAUUCCUAUGAUACUCCGUGAUAUUCUGGAGGAAUCCAUCCCUUCCUUGGGGCUCCAUCCCACUGCCCCAGCACCUCCAGCCACCCUGAUUCAGGGACAUCGCAGAGAUUGGUGUUUGACGCUACGGCAGCAGAGGCGCAGACUCUUGAGUGUUGGAGGGUGUCUGGAGGGCCUGGGGGCCAGCACCGCCUGCACUCCCGGGAGCUCGGCCCCGCCCCACCGUGGCUCUGAGUGUCGGAGGGCGUCUGGAGGACCUGGGGGCCAG